UACGUAGGGGGCUAGCGUUGUCCGGAUUUAUUGGGCGUAAAGAGCGUGUAGGCGGCCAGGUAGGUCUGCUGUGAAAACUCGAGGCUCAACCUCGAGAUGUCGGCGGAAACCAUCUGGCUAGAGUCCGGAAGAGGAGAGUGGAAUUCCCGUGUGAUGACGGUGGAAAUGCGCAGAUAUCAGGAAGAACACCCGUGGCUAAGGCGGCUCUCUAGUACGGUACUGACGCUGAGACGCGAAAGCGUGGGGAGCGAACAGG
rnacentral:rRNA from 1 species